UGGGGAAUUUUGGACAAUGGGCGAAAGCCUGAUCCAGCCAUGCCGCGUGAGUGAAGAAGGCCUUCGGGUUGUAAAGCUCUUUCGGUGGGGAAGAAAUUGCACGGGUUAAUACCCUGUGUAGAUGACGGUACCUGGAGAAGAAGCACCGGCUAACUACGUGCCAGCAGCCGCGGUAAUACGUAGGGUGCGAGCGUUAAUCGGAAUUACUGGGCGUAAAGCGUGCGCAGGCGGUUUGGUAAGUCAGAUGUGAAAUCCCCGGGCUCAACCUGGGAACUGCAUUUGAGACUGCCAAGCUGGAGUUUGGCAGAGGGGGGUGGAAUUCCACGUGUAGCAGUGAAAUGCGUAGAGAUGUGGAGGAACACCGAUGGCGAAGGCAGCCCCCUGGGCCAAUACUGACGCUCAUGCACGAAAGCGUGGGGAGCAAACAGG
rnacentral:rRNA from 1 species